UAGGCAGACAAGUACAUCUGUGUGAGGGAUUCCCGGGUUCAAAUAUUUUCUGCUCCUCUCACAUAUGGACCUUUGUCAAGAAUAGCUGCCCUGAACUUCUCCAGCAGAUGGAAGGCAUGCAGUGGACCUGAGGACAGAAUGUAAUGAUGCUCAUCGGUACAUAAUGAAGCACAUUUGAAGAGCUGACAUCCUGAGUUGUUAUGGAGGAGGUGUCCAAUAAGUUGCAAUGAUUUCACAGGAUUAUACAGUUGAAAGGACUCACAAGAUUGCGUAGACCAUACUUAGUAGUGCUUUAAUUAAGGUAGAGGAUACAGUAAAGCUGGAGAAAGCAGAGGCAAGCGUCAAAGGCCCAGGAUACACCCAGAUGGAACUCUCCUUAACCACACAAAAGGUGAUUGGUGAUGUCAUUCAAAUUCAACUACCAUCUACAUGAUGACAGCUCCUACAUGUACAUCCUUAUCCAAGUUAUCUCCUCUUAACUCUGGAUUUACAUACUCAAUUGUUACUGUAUAUUUCCACUUAGGUGCCUGUAAUACACUUUUCACCAUUAAAGUGU